rnacentral:rRNA from 1 species
UGGGGAAUAUUGGACAAUGGGCGCAAGCCUGAUCCAGCCAUACCGCGUGGGUGAAGAAGGCCUUCGGGUUGUAAAGCCCUUUUGUUGGGAAAGAAAUCCAGCCGGCUAAUACCUGGUUGGGAUGACGGUACCCAAAGAAUAAGCACCGGCUAACUUCGUGCCAGCAGCCGCGGUAAUACGAAGGGUGCAAGCGUUACUCGGAAUUACUGGGCGUAAAGCGUGCGUAGGUGGUCGUUUAAGUCCGUUGUGAAAGCCCUGGGCUCAACCUGGGAACUGCAGUGGAUACUGGGCGACUAGAGUGUGGUAGAGGGUAGCGGAAUUCCUGGUGUAGCAGUGAAAUGCGUAGAGAUCAGGAGGAACAUCCAUGGCGAAGGCAGCUACCUGGACCAACACUGACACUGAGGCACGAAAGCGUGGGGAGCAAACAGGAUUAGAUACCCUGGUAGUCCACGCCCUAAACGAUGCCGAACUGGAUGUUGGGUGCAAUUUGGCACGCAUGUAUCGAAGCUAACGCGUUAAGUUCGCCGCCUGGGAGUACGGUCGCAAGACUGAAACUCAAAUGAAUUGAC